UACGGAGGGUGCAAGCGUUAAUCGGAAUUACUGGGCGUAAAGCGUGCGCAGGCGGUUUGUUAAGUCUGUUGUGAAAUCCCCGAGCUCAACUUGGGAAUUGCAAUGGAUACUGGCAGGCUGGAGUAUGGUAGAGGAAGGUGGAAUUCCCGGUGUAACAGUGAAAUGCGUAGAGAUCGGGAGGAACACCAGUGGCGAAGGCGGCCUUCUGGACCAAUACUGACGCUGAGGAGCGAAAGCGUGGGGAGCGAACAGG
rnacentral:rRNA from 1 species